rnacentral:tRNA from 1 species
UGCUGAUUUAGCUCAGUAGGCAGAGCGCAUCCAUGGUAAGGAUGAGGUCGCCGGUUCGAUCCCGGCAAUUAGCAUC